UACGAAGGGGGCUAGCGUUGUUCGGAAUCACUGGGCGUAAAGCGCAUGCAGGCGGAUUGUUAAGUCGGGGGUGAAAUCCCGAGGCUCAACCUCGGAACUGCCUUCGAUACUGGCAAUCUUGAGUCCGGGAGAGGUGAGUGGAACUGCGAGUGUAGAGGUGAAAUUCGUAGAUAUUCGCAAGAACACCCGUGGCUAAGGCGGCUCUCUAGUACGGUACUGACGCUGAGACGCGAAAGCGUGGGGAGCGAACAGG
rnacentral:rRNA from 1 species